UAUCCUCAUCUUUAUUUGAAAUAGAUUACUGGAUUAGCAUAGACAUAAAUAAAUUAAAGGUGAAAGGAUUUUUGUAAACACCAUAUUUCAUUUCACGUCUUUGACAUCUGAGUACAACCAAAUCCUGUUUUCUCAGUCUACUGUUGGCAGGGAAUAAAUAAACUGCCGUUGAUGCCAAGGUAAAAUGUCGUUAAGUAGACUACUCACAAACACCAGGUGGCAGUGUUUCAUUGUAGUAUAUAAUAGAAAAUUGAUCACACACCAAGCAUAGAGAUGGAACCAAUCAUAAAUGCAUUUGUUUAUCUACCUGCCAUCAUUAAUUAUAGCUUUUAACCCUCAACUACAGGUCUAGUGUUUAACCCUCAACUACAGGUCUAGUGUUUAACCCUCAACUACAGGUCUAGUGUUUAACCCUCAACUACAGGUCUAGUGUUUAACCCUCAAUGACAGGUCUAGUGUUUAACCCUCAAUGACAGGUCUAGUGUUUAACCCUCAAUGACAGGUCUAGUGUUUAACCCUCAACUACAGGUCUAGUGUUUAACCCUCAAUGACAGGUCUAGUGUUUAACCCUCAAUGACAGGUCUAGUGUUUAACCCUCAACUACAGGUCUAGUGUUUAACCCUCAAUGACAGGUCUAGUGUUUAACCCUCAAUGACAGGUCUAGUGUUUAACCCUCAACUACAGGUCUAGUGUUUAACCCUCAAUGACAGGUCUAGUGUUUAACCCUCAAUGACAGGUCUAGUGUUUAACCCUCAAUGACAGGUCUAGUGUUUAACCCUCAACUACAGGUCUGGUGUUUAACCCUCAACUACAGGUCUAGUGUUUAACCCUCAACUACAGGUCUAGUGUUUAACCCUCAACUACAGGUCUAGUGUUUAACCCUCAAUGACAGGUCUAGUGUUUAACCCUCAACUACAGGUCUAGUGUUUAACCCUCAACUACAGGUCUAGUGUUUAACCCUCAAUGACAGGUCUAGUGUUUAACCCUCAACUACAGGUCUAGUGUUUAACCCUCAAUGACAGGUCUAGUGUUUAACCCUCAACUACAGGUCUAGUGUUUAACCCUCAACGACAGGUCUAGUGUUUAACCCUCAACUACAGGUCUAGUGUUUAACCCUCAACUACAGGUCUAGUGUUUAACCCUCAAUGACAGGUCUAGUGUUUAACCCUCAACUACAGGUCUAGUGUUUAACCCUCAACUACAGGUCUAGUGUUUAACCCUCAACUACAGGUCUAGUGUUUAACCCUCAACUACAGGUCUAGUGUUUAACCCUCAACUACAGGUCUAGUGUUUAACCCUCAACUACAGGUCUAGUGUUUAACCCUCAACUACAGGUCUAGUGUUUAACCCUCAAUGACAGGUCUAGUGUUUAACCCUCAACUACAGGUCUAGUGUUUAACCCUCAACUACAGGUCUAGUGUUUAACCCUCAACUACAGGUCUAGUGUUUAACCCUCAAUGACAGGUCUAGUGUUUAACCCUCAACUACAUACAGGUCUAGUGUUUAACCCUCAACUACAGGUCUAGUGUUUAACCCUCAACUACAGGUCUAGUGUUUAACCCUCAAUGACAGGUCUAGUGUUUAACCCUCAACUACAUACAGGUCUAGUGUUUAACCCUCAACUACAGGUCUAGUGUUUAACCCUCAAUGACAGGUCUAGUGUAGUUGAGGGUUAAUAACCCUCUGAGCUAUUUCUCUGGCAAACUCAUCACCUCGUUUUCACAGGUUAUGUACACAACUCUCUUUCUCCCUCCCUCUCUCUUCCUCUUUCUCUCAACACCUCCUCUCUCUCCUUUCUCCUUUCUCUUUUCUCCACUCUCUCUCCCCCAUAUCUCUCUCUCAAUCUCCCCUCCUUUUCUCUCUCAUCCUCUCUCUAUGUGCUCCAGGAGAUGAUGAUUCCCACUCAGUCAGUAGUGUGAUUGGUAUGCUCUUGACUUCCCCUCUAGGAAGAGCCAGACAGCUCUACAACUACAGGAUUCAUACCCACCAUGACAACUAUACUCCAUAUAGAGAUUCAUACCCACCAUAACCACUAUACUCCAUAUAGAGGUACAGACCCACCAUAACCACUAUACUCCAUAUAGAGGUACAGACCCAUCAUAACCACUAUACUCCAUAUAGAGAUUCAUACCCACCAUAACCACUAUACUCCAUAUAGAGAUCCCAUACCCACCAUAACCACUAUACUCCAUAUAGAGAUCCCAUACCCACCAUAACCACUAUACUCCAUAUAGAGAUCCCAUACCCACCAUAACCACUAUACUCCAUAUAGAGGGGCACAGCUCCAGGUAAUAGGAUUGGGAAGUGCUGUGGUAUGACCCAAGGCAGUCUGCACAGGAGGAGAUGAAUGCAACUUUUUUUUCCCCCUUUUACAAUGAUGUUUUUCAGUCUUUUUAAACAAUGCCUCCAACUGUUGCUAAAUCCACACAAGGCCACAUUUCUUAUCUGGCUAUUUAUUCAAACAAAAACAAACAAACAAGCAGUUAGUUAGUUAACCCCUAAAGCACUUUAUUACUGUGCUACUUUUCAAUAGCAAAAAAAAACACUGGUGAACUUUUCCUUUUGAAUUCCCAGAUGUUACCUAACUGCUCAUUUUGUGUAUU